UACGUAGGGUGCGAGCGUAAUCGGAAUUACUGGGCGUAAAGCGUGCGCAGGCGGGCUUUUAAGCCAGACGUGAAAUCCCCGGGCUUAACCUGGGAAUGGCGUUUGGGACUGGAAGUCUGGAGUGCGGCAGAGGAGACUGGAAUUCCUGGUGUAGCAGUGGAAAUGACGUAGAUAUCAGGAGGAACACCGAUGGCGAAGGCAGGUCUCCUGGGCUGGACACUGACGCUCAUGCACGAAGCGUGGGGAGCGAAACAAGG
rnacentral:rRNA from 1 species